rnacentral:rRNA from 1 species
GGGUCAGUAGGCUGGUCGUGCCACCGGUACGUACUGGUCUCACUGAUUCCUCCUUCCUGAAGAACCGUAAUGCCAUUAAUUUGGUGUUGCGGGGAAACAGGACUGUUACUUUGAAAAAAUUAGAGUGUUUAAAGCAAGCUAACGCUUGAAUACAUUAGCAUGGAAUAAUGAAAUAGGACGAUCGAUCCUAUUUUGCUGGCCUCUAGGAUUGACGUA